rnacentral:misc_RNA from 1 species
UCCGGCUUAUCACCGGCAGUUUCCUUAUAGUUCCCGGCAUUACCCGCUGGCAAAUAAGGAUGAGGGUUUCGCUCGUUGCGGGACUUAACCCAACAUCUCACGACACGAGCUGACGACAGCCAUGCAACACCUGUGUGUGGUCCAGCCGAACUGACGGCUAUAUCUCUACAGCCUACGACCACCAUGUCAAGGGUUGGUAAGGUUUUUCGCGUAACAUCGAAUUAAACCGCAUGCUCCACCGCUUGUGCGAGCCCCCGUCAAUUCCUUUGAGUUUUAAUCUUGCGAUCGUACUCCCCAGGCGGAGUGCUUAACGUGUUAACUACGGAACCGAAAGAAAUUCUCCCGAUACCUAGCACUCAUCGUUUACGGCGUGGACUAC